UGCAGUCAAGUCAAAUUCAGUUCCUGUCUUCUCAUGGUGGGAGCUGGCCCAGAUGACUGCCACAGCAAGCUCUGCUGUUCAUGGGCCCUAUGUGCCCUGCCCUUGGGACCUAGGGAUAAAUUUGGCUGCAGACAUUC
rnacentral:snoRNA from 1 species